ACGCCCGCCAACGGGGACCAACCAAAACCUUAACCCGUAGUAUUAGAAGUAAACCGUACCAAAAACAAAAAAAUCAAAACUUUCAACAACGGAUCUCUUGGUUCUGGCAUCGAUGAAGAACGCAGCGAAAUGCGAUAAGUAGUGUGAAUUGCAGAAUUCAGUGAAUCAUCGAAUCUUUGAACGCACAUUGCGCCCUUUGGUAUUCCUUAGGGCAUGCCUGUUCGAGCGUCAUAAAACCCCUCAAGCGCAGCUUGUUGUUGGGCGCUUGUCCCGCCUCCGGGCGCCGGACUCGCCUCGAAUCCAUUGGCGGCCCCCGCAUUGGGCUAUCGAGCGCAGCAGAUUUGCGCCUCGGGCACAGAGCGCGUGGGCAUCCACCAAGCAAACCCCCCAAUUUGACCUCGAUCAGGUAGG
rnacentral:rRNA from 1 species